GCACCCGUAGCUCAGCUGGAUAGAGCGCCGCCCUCCGAAGGCGGAAGCCAGAGGUUCGAAUCCUCUCGGGUGCGCCA
rnacentral:tRNA from 1 species